UAGGGAAUAUUGCGCAAUGGACGAAAGUCUGACGCAGCAACGCCGCGUGGGUGAUGAAGCAUCUUGGUGUGUAAAACCCUGUCAGUGGGGAAGAAACGUGAGAGGAGUCACUGCCUCUCGCCUGACGGUACCCACAAAAGAAGUCCCGGCUAACUCCGUGCCAGCAGCCGCGGUAAUACGGGGGGGACAAGCGUUGUUCGGAUUUACUGGGCGUAAAGGGCGCGUAGGCGGGCCUUCAAGUCGGUUGUGAAAACCUGAGGCUUAACGUCAGGCCUGCAUCCGAUACUGUUGGUCUUGAGUGCGGGAGAGGAAAGCGGAAUUCCAGGUGUAGCGGUGAAAUGCGUAGAUAUCUGGAAGAACACCAGUAGCGAAGGCGGCUUUCUGGACCGACACUGACGCUGAAGCGCGAAGGCUUGGGGAGCAAACA
rnacentral:rRNA from 1 species